rnacentral:rRNA from 1 species
GAUGAACGCUGGCGGCAUGCCUAACACAUGCAAGUCGGACGGGCAGUCGUGUUUCUAGUGGCGGACGGGUGAGUAACGCGCAAGAACCUGCCCCUGGGAGGGGAACAAUAGCUGGAAACGGUUGCUAAUACCACGCAGGCCGAGGAGCAAAAGGAGGAAUCCGCCCGAGGGGGGGAUUGCGUCUGAUUAGCUAGCUGGUGAAGCAAUAGCUUACCAAGGCGAUGGUCAGUAGCUGGUCCGAGAGGAUGAUCGGCCACACUGGGACGGAGACACGGACCAGGGACCUACGGGAGGCAGCAGUGAGGAAGUUUCCGCAAUGCGCGAAGGCCGAACGGGGCAAUGGGGCGGGGAAGUAGAGGGCCCACGGAUCGAGAACUGCUUUUCCCAGAGAAGAAGCAAUGACGGUAUCUGAGGAGUAAGCAACGGCUAACUCUGUG